rnacentral:rRNA from 1 species
AUUGAACGCUGGCGGCAGGCCUAACACAUGCAAGUCGAGCGGAUGACGGGAGCUUGCUCCUGGAUUCAGCGGCGGACGGGUGAGUAAUGCCUAGGAAUCUGCCUGGUAGUGGGGGACAACGUUUCGAAAGGAACGCUAAUACCGCAUACGUCCUACGGGAGAAAGCAGGGGACCUUCGGGCCUUGCGCUAUCAGAUGAGCCUAGGUCGGAUUAGCUAGUUGGUGAGGUAAUGGCUCACCAAGGCGACGAUCCGUAACUGGUCUGAGAGGAUGUUCAGUCACACUGGAACUGAGACACGGUCCAGACUCCUACGGGAGGCAGCAGUGGGGAAUAUUGGACAAUGGGCGAAAGCCUGAUUCAGCCAUGCCGCGUGUGUGAAGAAGGUCUUCGGAUUGUAAAGCACUUUAAGUUGGGAGGAAGGGUUGUAGAUUAAUACUCUGCAAUUUUGACGUUACCGACAGAAUAAGCACCGGCUAACUCUGUGCCAGCCGCCGCCGUAACAC